rnacentral:ncRNA from 1 species
GUACGUGCUCCGGGGUCGGUGAAAGUCCGAACCGGCGGUGAUAGUCCGCGAGCCGCAGCCCACUCCGGUGGGAGGCGGUUGACCUGGUGGAAUUCCAGGGCCGACGGUAAAAGUCCGGAAGGGAGGCAGCACGAGU